CUAGAGUGUGAGGGAAUCAGUAGGUCAAAGGAUGGACAAGCAUUACCAGGCAGCCGACCAGAGAGUGACUCAUCAGAGGAAUCUGACACGUCCUUGGCUGCUGUGUUCAAGUCCCAUCUCAAUCCGUUCAAGUCAAUGAGGUCCCUCAAUCCAUCACAUAGCUUUAAAGAGGCUGAGAUAAGUGGGAGUCAACCUGAGGAGCAGAUUGAGUGUUCACCUCAGCAUUCGUCCCGCUUAUCAAUCACAGGACAGGAAGUCGCACUGCCUCCCGCCCAACUGGACGUGCUGAAGACAAGCAACAACAACUCUGCAUGCGCAAG